GGGAAACAAUGCAAGGCCUGAAGUGGUGACACAGUCAUUCGUUUUUUCUUGGUAGGUAGAUGGUGUUUUGCUGAUUGUGUAACCCUGCUGUAUACAUAAAUAACAAUAAUACUCUGUAAACAGAGAAUGACUUGUAUCUUUUAAACCUUAGUUCUUUUAACAUCCUUUACCAGAAAAAAUGCACUCUGACUGCAAUGGGAUGAAGAAAUAGGCAUGGCAUAGUCUCCAUAGUGAGAAGUUCUGAACAGAGGCAACAUGUUUGAAGCUUUACAAAGGGCUUCAAUAAGGGAUUACAAUCUUAAUCUGCUGUUGUGGCUUUGAAGCAUGAUCCUGAAAUUGAAGAUGCAGUUCAACAGUGUGGUGCCAUAAUGCCGAUAAAAAAGAGAGAUACCAAAUUCAGAUUAAUAUGAUCACAUCUUCCAUUUAAUCUGUUCCAUGUAACAUUUAAAUAGCUAUUUAGAAAACAUCAAAUGCAGAAUAGUAUAUGUUACUUGAUUUACAAAUGAGAAUGGUGCCAGGAAUAAAGCAAGGUUUGCUUUGACCUAAUGCCCCUAG
rnacentral:lncRNA from 1 species